GUGGAUAUAAAGGCAGGCCAAGGUGAAAGCCCUUUUCUAUUUCCAGCAGGACACACCUGGCAAUGGAUGUGACAUUCAGCACUGCCCGGGUUUCUUCCACUUGGAGGAGGCAAAGUGGUGAAUGGAAGGAGGCGAUCCUCUGGCAGUGGGAUGCUAAGGAGCAAUAAUAAGCCAAAUUUGCUUGCUUGAAGGCUGCUGGUAUCCGUGGUUGGAAGCUGUUGGAUGUCUCAUGAUGGACCUAAAAGAAGCUGGCAGAUGUUGGUGGAUGGAAGCCAGUGGCAUUUGGAUUUGGAAGUAGGUGGGGGCUACAAGGCUAAAGCAGACUGAUGUUUGCGGAUGUCAGCUGAUGGAAGCUCACCUUUGGAAGACAGUCAACAGAAGCCAGUGGAUAUUUGUGGACUGAAACCCGGGCACAAACGUGAAUGGAUGUCAUGUUUUUGGAUGUCGGCUGGUAUAUGUUUGUGUGAGUACAUGGGAGGUUUCAAAUGUGGUUGAUACAGAAUGGUGUUUGCAUGUUCGUGAAUAUGAUGUGUGGAAGGUAGAUAUUCAUGACUAGAUGGAACCCGUGGGAGGGGGGAUAUUGGUUUCAUGGAAUCAGAGAAUCAGGGAAUCAUGUUUGGGAGGGACCAUGAGGGUCAUCUAGCCCAACCCCUUACAAUGCAGGGAUCUUCUGCCAAAUGUGGGGCUCAAACCCACUGGCGUGCUUCUGAACUGCUAGGUUGGCAGGAGCUGGGACAGAGCAAUGGGAGUGUACCCCGUCGUGGGGAUUUGAACUGCUGACCAGGGGUCCUUUACCUUUACCUUACCAAGCACGAAUGGUCAAGCUAUGAGGCAAGGCCAAUUCAUAUUUCCUUUUCUUCACUGUGUCUCCUGUGUAGCAGCAGCAGACUUUAAGCUUUCUAGCCAGACCACAGCUGUUGUCAAACUGGGAUCUGUUCAGCGCUGCCCCGAGUCGCCCAGCGACUUAUUAUAACAACUUCAUGGUGAGUUUUGGCAGCUACUUCUCUUCAAAAGAAAAGCACAGGAUUAAACACACCACUGUAAAUUUACUUCCUAUCCCAGAUAACUCCCACCCCCCCAAUAAAUAUUACUUGUGAAAAUGUCAUCUGCAGCUAAGACUUAGGCCACAAUCCUAAACACACUUUCUAGGGAAUAAGCCCUUACUGAACAGAAUGGGAUUUACUUCUAGGAAGACAUGUGCAGUUAGGGAGCCGGAUGCCCUGUGGAUUUAAUAUUAAAACAAAUCCCCAAGGUCUGUAUAUCAGUUUACAGCUUUUAUCUGCAUCAGCUAAUUCUAUAUUAAGGAUUCUAUUUCAUGGAGGAGAGAAUUAUGUCACAUAUAAUAAAAAGAAAUCUUUUGGAGCCAGAUCAGAACUUAGCAUAUUUUCCUUAAUGAUCUGCAGUGCAAAUACAGUAUUUUCAUCUUGCACGUUUUUAGCUUUUAAAAUGUAUUUUUUAUUUAUUUACAAUCUUUCUAAGCUGCCUUGGUAUACAAAGAUGAUAAGAUUAGUUGCAAAUAUAUAUAUAUAUAUAUAUUAACUGCACAGGUAUAAAAUAACUCCAGUUAAAAAGUGUGCAAAACAGUAAUUUGAAGCUAUAUAAAAGCAACAGUAGCAAUCUCCAACUAGUUCCCACAUACAGAAGCAAAGAUUCUUCACCAAUUUCCAGAAACAGAUCACAGAAGAACACAUGUGGACUAACUCAUAGGCCAAUAGUCCUGAUCUUGAUAGAUUGUAGUGAUGGAACUGGAAAUAAGGCUUCAUUGGCAAAUCUGAAAACCAUCCUAGAGUGCCAUUUCCUCACCAUGAAAUGGCAGGUUCAUCCCACAACCAUCCAUGCUUGGAAUCAGAAAGAAAAUGCCAGUCAAUUAUUUGAGAUUGAAUGUAUCUAGCUCUCCGGUUACCUCACUAGAUGGCAUAGUGGUUAAAGCAAGUAGGUCAAGGGAGAGAGGGCUCUGUAGGUUCCUAGAAACCACAAUGUCAGUGAGUAGAUCCUUGCUCUGAGUGCAAUGCUGCAGGGAGUUAUAAUUCCCUCUAUUUCCAUGGCCCAUCUUUCUGAGGCCACUUUUUGCGCCCUCCCUCCCUCCCUCCCUCCAUCUUUCAGGAUGCCAAUGUUGCCACAAUGGAGGAAGAAAUCGGAGCGAUUGGACAACUCCUUCGGGCAUCCCUUCGAGCAUCCGCUUGGCCUCUGGCAAAAGGUCUGGUACUAUGGAUCUGCUGAUGGGUCUGAAAUCAGGCUGUGUUCCUGUGGUCCCUUCUCCCACACUGAAGCUGGUCCUAAGACCUUCUGUAAGGCAGAUAUUUCUCGGGCUCCAGAGUAGGCUGCUGAGGCAGACUUCCUCACUUCCCAGAAAGAAUCUGUGAGUUCCCAGAUUGGCUCUGUUCUGACCACUUACCUCUUCAUUUGCUCCUUAGGUGCGCUCCACCCUCUUUCUGCUGGUGCUGAGGUUGUGACCGUUGGCACAGCUGCCUUGUCUCUUUCCUUCCACCUCUUGACUCUUUCCUUCUUCCCUUUUCACUUCAUGUCAUACAGUGGGCUUUAAGCUUUCCAGCCAGGCCUCUACUAUUGUUGUUUAUAUAUUUUAUUUAUUCAUGAUUUUCAGUUUUAUACAUUUCAAUAAUUUUACAAUCAUUUUAACAUUUCAAUAAUCAACUUCGUUCCCCCUCUUUCUGCAACUCCUUAAAUUUUUUUAUAUUUUCUGCAUAUCAAAAUUAACUUAAUUUGCUAAUUUAUUCAUCUACUUUAAUAGAUAUACUCUUAUAAAACUGCAGGUUAUUACAAUAAUCCUGCCAAUGUUCUUAUCUGUUUACAAUUUAAAUAUUCAAUAAACCAUUUCCAUUUGUUUAUAAAAAAUUGUUAUCUUGAUUUCUUAUUUUUCCAGUAAGUUUCGCCAUUUCUGCAUAUUCCAUAAGUUUAUGUAUCCAUUCUUUCUUUGCUGGGACUUCUUUCCAUUUUUGGGCAAGUAACAUUCUCACUGUAGUUGCAUGCAUGAAUAAAUUUCUAUACCGUCUGGGUAGUUCUGUCCCUGUAAUUCCCAAAAGGAAAGCUUCAGGUUGUUGUUUAUUUUAAGAAACAUUAUUUAAAACAUCUUUUUCAAUUCAUUAUAUAUCAUUUCCCACACACACACAUUUAUGCAAAGGGUCCUUCUGAGCUAUCCUAGCCAUUUGUCUGAAUCUAAGAGAAUGAGGGAGGAGCGGAGCACAUUUAUUUGACUUGCACUAGAACCAGAGGUAUCUGUUCAGAGCUGCCCCAAGUCACCCAGGGACUCACCUGUAACGACUUCAUGGUGAAGUUCCGGCACCUAUUUUUCUGGGGGGGGGGGGAGCACUGUGUACAACUUACAGGCAUCAACGUUAGUUUCUUGGAAGGAAGAGAGGGUUGUUCCAACCACUUUGCCUUUAUUCCCUGGAAGACAAGAGUUCGCUACUAUUUGUACUAUAGAGAUUCUUCCAUGUACCAUUCAGAAGCUCACCCCUCAACUAUUGAGAUGACAUAUGUCCACUUUAGGGCAUGUUGUUGUUGUUGUUGUUUAGUCGUUUAGUCAUGUCCAACUCUUCGUGACCCCAUGGACCAGAGCACCCCAGGCACUCCUGUCUUCUACUGCCUCCCGCAGUUUGGUCAGACUCAUGCUGGUAGCUUCGAGAACACUGUCCAACCAUCUCGUCCUCUGUUGUCCCCUUCUCCUUGUGCCCUCAAUCUUUCCCAACAUCAGGGUCUUUUCCAGGGAGUCUUCUCUUCUCAUGAGGUGGCCAAAGUAUUGGAGCCUCAGCUUCAGGAUCUGUCCUUCCAGUGAGCACUCAGGGCUGAUUUCCUUAAGAAUGGAUGCGUUUGAUCUUCUUGCAGUCCAUGGGACUUUCAAGAGUCUCCUCCAGCACCAUAAUUCAAAAGCAUCAAUUCUUUGGUGAUCAGCCUUAUUUAUGGUCCAGCUCUCACUUCCAUACAUCACUACUGGGAAAACCAUAGCUUUAACUCUAUGGACUAUACUAUAUGGCGUGAUGACAAAAAUACAAAACAUGAAAGCAUUGAAAGCACCUUCCUAGUCAAUAUUCCCGGAGGCAAUAAUAUUACAUAACAUGUUUACAAAACCUUCCACAAAGCACAAAUUCUUUACAAAAAUGGAAUGAGCAUAUUUCAGGGACAAAGCAUUGAAGAUACAUGGCAUAUACAUUCAGAAAUGUGUAAGUCCUGUACAGCUGGUAUUCAGUUUGACAUCAAUUUAGAUCACAGGGGUGCGUGAUUUAUGAUUUGCCUUUAUGCACGUGUUAUUUAAACUGUCCAGAUAGUUGCAUGAGCAGAUAUUUGAAAUCAUGAAAGUAUAUUAAUGUUGGGUAAGAUAAGCUUUAAAAGUGAUUGGUCUUCUAUGUGGAUAUCUUUUCAUGGUUUCAUUCUGUUAUGUAAAAUGGCCACUGCACUUGAAGCAUAAACAUUGCAAUGUUAAUCUUCAAGAACAAUGAAGUUUGUAAUGAACAUUUAACAGCCAGAAUUUCCUUUGCAAUAGAUCGUGUUCAUUCUUUCUUGUUCUAGGGAGAAGAAUGAAUUCCUCGUGCAAUUUUCACUCGAAAAACAGCACAUACUUCAGGCAAGGACCUGAUUACAGCUGCUGCAGAACAGGAUAUUGCUUUCUCUAAUCCUGUACCAUAUUUAAAGCUUAGCCAUCAGUGCCUGCCUCUGUGUAUCCAAGCACAAAGCAUUUAAAACUACAGUAAAUCUGAAUGGAU
rnacentral:lncRNA from 1 species